GAUGAACGCUGGCGGCGUGCCUAAUACAUGCAAGUCGAGCGAACAGACGAGGAGCUUGCUCCUCUGACGUUAGCGGCGGACGGGUGAGUAACACGUGGAUAACCUACCUAUAAGACUGGGAUAACUUCGGGAAACCGGAGCUAAUACCGGAUAAUAUAUUGAACCGCAUGGUUCAAUAGUGAAAGACGGUUUUGCUGUCACUUAUAGAUGGAUCCGCGCCGCAUUAGCUAGUUGGUAAGGUAACGGCUUACCAAGGCGACGAUGCGUAGCCGACCUGAGAGGGUGAUCGGCCACACUGGAACUGAGACACGGUCCAGACUCCUACGGGAGGCAGCAGUAGGGAAUCUUCCGCAAUGGGCGAAUGCCUGACGGAGCAACGCCGCGUGAGUGAUGAAGGUCUUCUGAUCGUAAAACUCUGUUAUUAGGGAAGAACAAAUGUGUAAGUAACUAUGCACGUCUUGACGGUACCUAAUCAGAAAGCCACGGCUAACUACGUG
rnacentral:rRNA from 1 species